rnacentral:rRNA from 1 species
UACGAGGGGGGCAAAUGUUGUUCGGAAUCACUGGGCGUAAAGGGUGCGUAGGCGGGUCUUUAAGUCAGGGGUGAAAUCCUGGAGCUCAACUCCAGAACUGCCUUUGAUACUGAGGAUCUUGAGUCCGGGAGAGGUGAGUGGAACUGCGAGUGUAGAGGUGAAAUUCGUAGAUAUUCGCAAGAACACCAGUGGCGAAGGCGGCUCACUGGCCCGGUACUGACGCUGAGGCACGAAAGCGUGGGGAGCAAACAGG